rnacentral:rRNA from 1 species
ACUGAACGCUGGCGGCAGGCCUAACACAUGCAAGUCGAGCGGGGUUUUCGGACCUAGCGGCGGACGGGUGAGUAAUGCGUAGGAAGCUGCCCGAUAGAGGGGGAUACCAGUUGGAAACGACUGUUAAUACCGCAUAAUGUCUACGGACCAAAGUGUGGGACCUUCGGGCCACAUGCUAUCGGAUGCGCCUACGUGGGAUUAGCUAGUUGGUGAGGUAAUGGCUCACCAAGGCGACGAUCUCUAGCUGGUUUGAGAGGAUGAUCAGCCACACUGGAACUGAGACACGGUCCAGACUCCUACGGGAGGCAGCAGUGGGGAAUAUUGGACAAUGGGCGCAAGCCUGAUCCAGCCAUGCCGCGUGUGUGAAGAAGGCCUUCGGGUUGUAAAGCACUUUCAGCGAGGAGGAAGGGGUGUGUGUUAAUAGUACUUAACUUUGACGUUACCUACAGAAGAAGCACCGGCUAACUCUGUGCCAGCAGCCGCGGUAAAAC